AACCGUAAGGUUCCCGGUCCCCAAAAAAUAAGCCGGGUUAUUUGGUGCCGAGAGCCGCGGAAAUGUAAGGGGCGCCAAAGUUUUCUGGAAUUAUUCUGGGUGUAGAGCUUGUAAUACGGGUUUUCCAUCUGCGGUGAAAUACCGAGGGUCUAACUCUGGGCACCACAGUGUAUGCGCAUGCCUAGAACCGGGUUAGAAGAUUGGAAUUCCCGGUGUAUCGCUGGAAUGCGCAGAUAUCUCGAGGGGCACCGACGGCGAAAGCAGAUCUCUGGGCCGUAACUGUCGCUGAGGAGCGAAAAAGCGGGGAGCACACACGCUUUGAUACCCUGGUAGUGUCCCCCGUAAACGUUGUGAGCUAGUGAUGGGGUGCAUAAUACGGAUUCCGUGAUCGCAGCUAACGCAUUAAGUUCGCCGCCUGGGGAGUACGGUCGCAAGGCUAAAACUCAAAGGAAUUGACGGGGGCCCGCACAAGCGGCGGAGCAUGCGGAUUAAUUCGAUGCAACGCGAAGAACCUUACCAAGGCUUGACAUAUCCGAGAACGGGCCAGAAAUGGUCAACUCUUUGGACACUUGUAAACAGGUGGUGCAUGGUCGUCGUCAGCUCGUGUCCUGAGAUGGUUGGGUUAAUUCCGCCACGAGCGCCACCCUCGUUCUAUGUUGGCCGCCCGUAAUGGUGGGAACUCAUAAGAUGCUGCCGGGGUCAACUCGGAGGAAGGUGGGGAUGACGUCAAAUCAUCAUGCCCCUUAUGUCUUAGGCUUCACGCACGCUCACAAUGGGUGGGAAAGGGCUGCAAAGCCGGAGACGGAAGACAAUCCAAAGAACCGGUAUCCAGUUCGGGAUAGGGUGUGCACACUCUCGCCUCACGAAAUUGGAGAAGCUAGUGUAUAUGCAGAUAAGCACACGGUGCGCGGAGAUACGUUUCCGGGUCUUUGCACACCGCCCGUGAAUCACGAAAGAGUUUAACCCCCAGAAGCAGUUAGCUUAACCUCGGAGGAGCGUCCAUGGUCAUGC
rnacentral:rRNA from 1 species